GGGGAUUUAGCUCAGUGGUAGAGCACUUGCCUAGCAAGCAUAAGGCCCUGGGUUCCCCGUCCCCAGCUCCG
rnacentral:tRNA from 1 species